rnacentral:rRNA from 1 species
ACGAUCAGCCACCCUGGGACUGAGACNCGGCCCAGACUCCUACGGGAGGCAGCAGUGGGGAAUUUUCCGCAAUGGGCGAAAGCCUGACGGAGCAACGCCGCGUGUGGGAAGAAGGCCUUUGGGCUGUCAACCACUUUUCUCAGGGAAGAAGUUCUGACGGUACCUGAGGAAUCAGCCUCGGCUAACUCCGUGCCAGCAGCCGCGGUAAUACGGAGGAGGCAAGCGUUAUUCGGAAUUAUUGGGCGUAAAGCGUCCGCAGGGGGCUCAUCAAGUCUGCUGUUAAAGGUCGGAGCUUAACUCCGGUUGGGCAGUGGAAACUGGUGGGCUAGAGGGCGGCAGGGGUAGAGGGAACUCCCAGUGUAGCGGUGAAAUGCGUAGAGAUUGGGAAGAACACCGGUGGCGAAAGCGCUCUACUGGGUCGCACCUGACCCUCAGGGACGAAAGCUAAGGUAGCGAAAGGGAUUAGAUACCCCUGUAGUCUUAGCCGUAAACGAUGGAUAC